AAGAAAUAAUGAGCAUUGCAAAGUGUAUUAUAAAUAGCAAGGAGAUGUUAGUCUAGAGGGCCAGCUGCUGCUGUUGCCACUGCAGCAAAUUGAAGCCAGAAAGAGAACCGGAGGAAAUGCAGGAAAUGUGCCUGGAAAAAAAAUAAUAACAGCAUGGUGGCCACCCACAAUGGUGAUCAAGUUUUUUUCCAAGUUCUAAUGAAACAUCCAUUCAUUUUUAUUUUGUGAGAUUGAAGCUGUAAUAGCUCGGUAUACAAAGAAUUUCCUGUAGAUUAAUAUGAAGCUGGAAGGAGUUGAUAGAUUUCAGCAGUGAUUUGGGCUAUUAAUCCAAGCCAGUCAUUCAUUAACCCUCAGGAAGUUUUCUGUGCCAAAGUCAUUAUUAUUAUUAUAAACUAAACCCCAAGCCCCAAAUGGGUGUAUGGCUACUUUUCUCUCCAGGAUCCUGAGUGUUUGAGUCAGCCAGGGAGCCUGAAUCAUUUCCUGAAUUCCCUUCUGGUUCAUGGGGAGUUAGACUUUGUACUAUGCACUUGCUGCCAAGGGAACCCAGCAAAGAGCCCUUUUGAGAGACACAGAAAUGGAAAGCACGUAUUAAGGAUGUGGAGCUACCCCAGCAGCCCUGACCUGCUGACCUCCAGACUGUGACAUGGAAACAGAUCAACUUCUCUCUUGGCAUUAAGUCUGACACUGGGGACAUCAAAACGGAUAACACAUGGCCCUGGAUCUCAAGGAACCUGCCGCCUGAUGGAAAAUAAAAGAGAGAGUCACACUUAAAUGAAUGAUUUCAGCAUAAUGAAUGUGACAAGUGAUAAGAUAAGGGAAUGCAUCCAGUAUCACUGCUUUUCCAAGGCUUCUCGAGGGGUAAAAAAUUACCCAGUGGGUAUUUGAAGGAGAAAGUAAAUAAAAGAAAAUCUACCAAGAACUGUGCUAUUUGGUAAUACGUG
rnacentral:lncRNA from 1 species